GACAGAGGUGCCGAGCGUUAGGCGGAAUCACUGGGCUUAAAGCGUGUGUAGGCGGGCGGGCAAGUGUCUUGUGAAAUCCCACGGCUCACCCGUGGAACUGCUGGGCAUACUGGCGAUCUUGGGCCAACUAGGGGCAGCCGGAACAAGCGGUGGAGCGGUGAAAUGCGUAGAUAUCGCUUGGAACGCCGAAGGUGAAAACAGGCUGCUGGGGUUGUGCCGACGCUGAGACACGAAAGCCAGGGGAGCAAACGGG
rnacentral:rRNA from 1 species